rnacentral:rRNA from 1 species
GAUGAACGCUAGCGGCAGGCUUAACACAUGCAAGUCGAGGGGACAGCGGGGAGUAGCAAUACUCUGCCGGCGACCGGCGCAAGGGUGCGUAACGCGUGAGCAACUUGCCCGUGUCAGGGGGAUAACCGGUGGAAACGCCGACUAAUACCCCAUAACACAGGGGACCGCAUGAUCCUCUGUUGAAAGAAUUUCGGACACGGAUGGGCUCGCGUGACAUUAGGUAGUUGGUGAGGUAACGGCCCACCAAGCCGACGAUGUCUAGGGGAACUGAGAGGUUGGUCCCCCACACUGGAACUGAGACACGGUCCAGACUCCUACGGGAGGCAGCAGUGAGGAAUAUUGGUCAAUGGACGAAAGUCUGAACCAGCCAUGCCGCGUGAAGGAAUAAGGCCCUAUGGGUCGUAAACUUCUUUUGUAUGUGAGCAAUAAGGUCCACGUGUGGACCGAUGAGAGUAGCAUACGAAUAAGCAUCGGCUAACUCCGUG